rnacentral:lncRNA from 1 species
UGGGCGGGCUCUGAGCCAGGCUGUGCGUGCAGAGAUCAGCCAGGAGACCGCGGUGAACCCCGUGGACAUCGUCAGCACCCUGCAGGCCCUGCAGAUGCUCAAGUACUGGAAGGGCAAACACCUGGUCCUCAAGAGGCAGGACCUGAUCGACGAGUGGAUCGCCAAGGAGGCCAAGAGAUCCAACAGCAACAAGACCAUGGAUCCCAGCUGCCUCAAGUGGACCCCUCCCAAGGGCACCUAAGCGUCCCCAGGGCCGGGCCCGGUGCCGCCCUGCCCGGCGUCCCCACAGUUCUGAGGAACUCGGAUGUUUCGGCCUCAGUGAGGCCGUGUGAGGACUGGAAGUGUCUGGGAGCCCCAGGGAGCCGAGGAGCUCCGAUUGCUGGGCCUGUCCCUGCUGUCCCUGCUGUCCUGCUCCAUCCUCCCGUCCCUCCUGCAGCUCAGCCGGCUGCCAGCGCUUCCCUGGAGCUGCUCCCGUCCCGUUCCACAUCCCAGAUAGCUUUAGUGGGAUCGUCUCCCCCCUCCUGCAGCAGUUUGCCCUGGGAUCCAGCAGAUCUUCGCUUAGUUCCUGUUGUACAGCCAGAAUUGCAGCCGAGGCAGGGGCGGGGUGUUCCCGUCACCCCCUCCCGGAGCCACCACAGCCCUGCUGGAAGCACCUCUGGAUCAGAAUUGCUGUUUUUUCCUGGUGUGUAUCCCCUGGAAUUGCUGAGUUCCUGUACAUAAACAGCCUGCUGAGUGUGUUUCCCUGCAGAUGUUUUUCCCAGAGCAGCCUUCCUGCAAUUGCAGGUCCCUUUUUCCUCCCCUCCAGGCUGAAGGAAUCCAAACUUUGUCCUUCUCCAAAGAGCCACAGGAACUCCCCAGCACCGGUUCCAGGGAGGGAUGGAUUCCCUGGAAAAGCCAAAAAAAAAAAAACAAAAAAAAAGCUUUGAUUCCUCCCCUGCCAUCAGCAGAAAUACCCUGGAAUCCUCCCAGUGCCACCAGGGUCCCCCAGCCACCCGUCCCCGCGAGGCUGCGGGGUCACCGACACAGGGGACAGCCCUGGGCCGGGGCUGGAGGCAGCCCAGGCUGGAUUCCCUGAUCCCAGACUGGAUUCCCUGAUCCCAGGCUGGAUUCCCUGAUCCCAGGCUGGAUUCCCUGAUCCCAGGCUGGAUUCCCUGAUCCCAGUGCUGAUUUCAGUGAUCCCAGGCUGGGUCCCUGAUCCCAGGCUGGAUUCCCCGAUCCCAGGCUGGAUUCCCUGAUCCCAGGCUGGAUUCCCUGAUCCCAGGCUGGGUCCCUGAUCCCAGGCUGGAUUCCCUGAUCCCAGGCUGGAUUCCCUGAUCCCAGUGCUGAUUUCAGUGAUCCCAGACUGGAUUCCCCGAUCCCAGGCUGGAUUCCCCGAUCCCAGUGCUGGAUUCCCCGAUCCCAGUGCUGGAUUCCCCGAUCCCAGUGAUUCUCCCAGGACAGGCUGUGGGAUGAGGCGCUCCCGGGAAGGUGGGAGCCGUUCCCGUUACCCACUGCCCCAUCCCGACUGCAGAAACUCCCUGCUGCUCCUCCG